AUGGCCACCUCCUGGUGGUAAGUCUCGCUCCUGGAGUUCCCAUCUUGGCCCUACAGCGGGACAUUUUGCCGCCGCCUCUUUGUGUGUUGGGAAGAUGACGUCCUUUCUGCUCGUCCUGGGACAGUCUGGUUUGAAAGGGAGGAGGAGAAAUAAGAGAAAGCUCCGUUGUAAUAUACAAGACGAAAAGAAAAGAAAGAGAAGUAAAAGGAAUGAUCUGCAACCACCUGGAUAUUGGAGCACAAUUGUGAGAACAACUGGAUCUGUGUCUCUGGAGACCCCUUUGCUCAGCCAUCAGAUCAAGCAGGCAUCCAUGGUUCAUAAUGCAGGUGAUGACCUGGGCAAGAGGUCACCAGUAAGGAGCAAAGGGGCCCGCCUGCCACUCUUAAGCAGAGCGCCUGCUGAAUCAGGAUUUCCAAGGCUCUGGCUGAGUGCUUGGCUGGGGGCUGUGUGUGCAGAUGCCACAAGAUGGACAAGACUGAGGACGCAGAGAUUUCCUACAACAGCAGACUUCUGAUGCCCAGGCCUCAGUUCUGAACUCUGGAGGCUACAACCUGGCCUGCUUAUAGACGGUGGACCAAAUGAAGGUAAAAAGGAGACGGGUGAGGACUGUUCAAGAAGAGGAUAUAAAAAGGGACAGGCAUUGAUGAUGAUAUCAGAGCUUCUUCCUGGGGAAUCUCAGCCUCACAUGAUGGAGUAUGACUAAAGGAAAAAAAUAAGGCUCUCCACGUACUUUCUUGGCAGUCUGUGAGGGUCAGGGUUGAUUUUGUCUCCCUAAAAUGUCACAUGAAGUUCAUAGGCACUUCCAAAGGGGCAGUCUAGCAAGUAAAAGAGUAGAUGUGCGGCUGUGUGGAGUCCAUUGUUUGGGUAAUCUUUUUCAAACAGUAGGAAUAUACCAGCUUGUAAAGAUUUGCCCACUUAGCUUCAAGUCUCUCUGAACACAUUUCCCCCCGCUCUAUGAAUAGAUGAAGAUAUACAAAUGGAACUGUUGAUAUUCUUAAGUGAAAAACAUGAUAUGGAAUAGCAGAUAAAUACAAACAAUUUCUUAUCCAGCAAAGAGCUCCAGAAAUAUUUUGACUUCAUUUAAAACAGUUAUAUAAAUAUUUGCUGGUGGAAGUUUUUUCUAAACCAAAUACCCUGAAGGAUUUUAGUUGUCUAUCUACAACUUUUUGCUUGUGGAAAAUGUUGACUUCCUGGUUACUUUGACUUGUGUUCACCUGAAAUUUUGCUUUUG
rnacentral:lncRNA from 1 species